GACGAACGCUGGCGGCGUGCUUAACACAUGCAAGUCGAACGGAAAGGCCCUGCUUUUGUGGGGUGCUCGAGUGGCGAAAGGGUGAGUAACAAGUGAGUAACCUGCCCUUGACUUUGGGAUAACUUCAGGAAACUGGGGCUAAUAACGGAUAGGAGCUCCUGCUGCAUGGUGGGGGUUGGAAAGUUUCGGCGGUUGGGGAUGGACUCGCGGCUUAUCAGCUUGUUGGUGGGGUAGUGGCUUACCAAGGCUUUGACGGGUAGCCGGCCUGAGAGGGUGACCGGCCACAUUGGGACUGAGAUACGGCCCAGACUCCUACGGGAGGCAGCAGUGGGGAAUAUUGCACAAUGGGCGGAAGCCUGAUGCAGCAACGCCGCGUGCGGGAUGACGGCCUUCGGGUUGUAAACCGCUUUCGCCUGUGACGAAGCGUGAGUGACGGUAAUGGGUAAAGAAGCACCGGCUAACUACGUG
rnacentral:rRNA from 1 species